rnacentral:rRNA from 1 species
AUGGCUAGUGGUUGCCGGAGGACUCCGCUUGCGGCAACGACCAAAGAACCGCCUACUCGAUGGGGUUGCCGUGGUCCGCGCAGAUGCCACUGCUAG